GAUGAACGCUGGCGGCGUGCUUAACACAUGCAAGUCGAACGGUGAAGGCGGAGCUUGCUCUGCUGGAUCAGUGGCGAACGGGUGAGUAACACGUGAGCAAUCUGCCCCUGACUCUGGGAUAAGCGCUGGAAACGGCGUCUAAUACUGGAUACGAGCUGCGAAGGCAUCUUCAGCAGCUGGAAAGAAUUUCGGUCAGGGAUGAGCUCGCGGCCUAUCAGCUUGUUGGUGAGGUAAUGGCUCACCAAGGCGUCGACGGGUAGCCGGCCUGAGAGGGUGACCGGCCACACUGGGACUGAGAAAAGGCCCAGACUCCUACGGGAGGCAGCAGUGGGGAAUAUUGCACAAUGGGCGAAAGCCUGAUGCAGCAACGCCGCGUGAGGGACGACGGCCCUCGGGUUGUAAACCUCUUUUAGCAGGGAAGAAGCGAAAGUGACGGUACCUGCAGAAAAAGCGCCGGCUAACUCCGUG
rnacentral:rRNA from 1 species